AGAAGUACAGUUUUGACUAGUUUUGAAUGUAUAAAUUUAUGCUAUUUUACUCACAUGUUGCUCGUACUGCGUAACAUUUUGUCUUUGUCCCACAGUCGCCAGAAGUCAACAGCACGUUCCUCUCUUUGUGUACGUACACGAACGACUAGCUUCUAUUUUCUUCCUAUUUUCGUGCUCGAUAAUAAAUCUCUCCUGCAUUUUUCUUUCCCUCUCAGAUCUUUUUUCUCUUUCAAACAUCUCUGUAUAUCUCUCUCGCUCUUUCUUGUUUAAUUAUUUUUCGUCUUUUACGACGAAUUCCUCGAUCGUGUUCGGCCUGGAAAGCCGACCUAGCUUCGAAAGUAUAUGCUCGCUCUGUCUCGCUGGUUGCACUGAGAUUUCUCCCAGAUCGUGACGUAUCCCACCAUUAGCAAGUGCG